UCUCGAUUUAGUCAAGGGUGAGAUUGUCGCUCUAGUCGGCGAAUCUGGCUGCGGCAAGACUACUCUUGCGAGGUCGUUACUCGGGUUGGUGC
rnacentral:tRNA from 1 species